GAUGAACGCUAGCUACAGGCUUAACACAUGCAAGUCGAGGGGAAACGGCAUUGAGUGCUUGCACUCUUUGGACGUCGACCGGCGCACGGGUGAGUAACGCGUAUCCAACCUUCCCAUUACUGUGGGAUAACCUGCCGAAAGGCAGACUAAUACCGCAUAGUCUUCGAUGACGGCAUCAGAUUUGAAGUAAAGAUUUAUCGGUAAUGGAUGGGGAUGCGUCUGAUUAGCUUGUGGCGGGGUAACGGCCCACCAAGGCGACGAUCAGUAGGGGUUCUGAGAGGAAGGUCCCCCACAUUGGAACUGAGACACGGUCCAAACUCCUACGGGAGGCAGCAGUGAGGAAUAUUGGUCAAUGGACGGAAGUCUGAACCAGCCAAGUAGCGUGCAGGAUGACGGCCCUAUGGGUUGUAAACUGCUUUUGUAUGGGGAUAAAGUUAGGGACGUGUCCCUAUUUGCAGGUACCAUACGAAUAAGGACCGGCUAAUUCCGUGCCAGCAGCCGCGGUAAUACGGAAGGUCCAGGCGUUAUCCGGAUUUAUUGGGUUUAAAGGGAGCGUAGGCUGGAGAUUAAGUGUGUUGUGAAAUGUAGACGCUCAACGUCUGACUUGCAGCGCAUACUGGUUUCCUUGAGUACGCACAACGUUGGCGGAAUUCGUCGUGUAGCGGUGAAAUGCUUAGAUAUGACGAAGAACUCCGAUUGCGAAGGCAGCUGACGGGAGCGCAACUGACGCUUAAGCUCGAAGGUGCGGGUAUCAAACAGG
rnacentral:rRNA from 1 species